rnacentral:rRNA from 1 species
CAGUAGCCGCGGGAAUACGAAGGGUGCAAGCGUUAAUCGGAAUUACUGGGCGUAAAGCGCGCGUAGGUGGUUUGGUAAGAUGGAUGUGAAAUCCCCGGGCUCAACCUGGGAACUGCAUCCAUAACUGCCUGACUAGAGUACGGUAGAGGGUGGUGGAAUUUCCUGUGUAGCGGUGAAAUGCGUAGAUAUAGGAAGGAACACCAGUGGCGAAGGCGACCACCUGGACUGAUACUGACACUGAGGUGCGAAAGCGUGGGGAGCAAACAGGAUUAGAUACCCCUGUAGUCCUGUCUCUUAUACA